rnacentral:lncRNA from 1 species
AGAUGGUGGCUGUAGCCUCUGCUUUGUUUACCCAAGACUCAGACAAGUCAGAAUAUAACUGAAGAACGAAUAGGUGUACCCAUCAGGAAAAUUAUUUGCAUAAAAGACCAAGUCUUUACAGAGGAGCAAAAGGCAGAGAGGAGAUUCCCCAUAGUCGGAGAAAACUGGACUAAAGAAGAAUCACUCUACGUAAGCGAAUCUGUGGUCUUCUCUCUCACUCAGAGACCUCAGGGGAGCAUGAGAAAUGAGUCAGUCUCUCUGAGGACCCACCAAGCUGCCAGAGCUAAACAAGAGUCUUGUUUGAACUCUGAAGGGGAGAAGGGACAGAAGGCAUGGAUGAGAACACAGCUGCAGUUGACUUCCGUGAAACCAUCUGGAGAGCAUGGCCCAAGAAAGAGAAAAGGGCACGGGGACCAAAUUAAGAAUGUUCUUAGUUAAUUUUCUAAAGAAUGAGUCCACUGAAAAACCACCCACUCCUGGGUUCCUGAUAAUGCAAACUUCAUUCAUUUGUUUAUUCAUUCAACAAAUGGAGUAGCUCCGACCAAUAUUAUGGAUUGGCUUGGAAAAUACCUCUGGCUUCUUGGCAGAGAAUCAAGCAAGAAACUUACAUGUGAUUUUGGUCUAUUCUAAAUAACUUCUCUAGGUUACAUACUUACACGCUGAUGGUUCACACAUAAGGAGGACAAAAGGAAUGCUACCAAAACAAAAAUCACCCCUCAAAAUUAUUUAAAAGGCAGAAGAUUUUAAAUUGAAGAAAUAUCUUUAGCAUCAAGUCAGGGUAUGAAUGUACCAGAAAGGCUUUGUUUUAGCAAAUUUACUUCCCAAAGGGCAGAAUAAUAUAUAUGAAAUGAAAAAUGCACAGGCCUUUUGUUCUUUAAUGACCUUGGGGGAAUAUUCUAAUUUAUCAGGAAUCUGCCAAGAAAACAGUUUACCUCUUCAGUUGUCUCAUUUUGUGUUUCUGAAUUUUUUUUUUUUUUUUUUUUUUAGCCAGGGUCUCAAUCUGUUGUCCAGGAUGGAGUGCAGUGGUGCAAUCAUGGCUCACUGUAGCCUCGACCUCCUGGGAUCAAGUGAUCCUCCCACUAUCAGCCUCCUGAGUUGCUGGGACUACAGCUAUGUGCCACCAUACCCAGCAAAUUUUUGUAUUUUUUGUAGAGACGAGGUCUCACCAUGUUGCCCAGGCUGGUCUUGAACUCCUGAGCUCAAGUAAUUUGCCCAUUUCAGCCUCUCAAAGUCUGGGAUUAUAGGUGUGAGCCACUGUGCCCUGCCCAUGUUUCUGAAUUUUUAAUACAUUUUAUUAAUUCUUGCUGAUCUGUGAAACACUAAGAAAAGUAAAUUGUUUUAUAAUUUUGUCUCUUAAUAUCCUCCAAAAAAUUAAUUCUAUUGCUUUUUCUUUGCAUACUUCUUGGAUACUAUUUUCCUCCCUUUGUGUCAGUGACUUAUCACAGGAAGAAAAAAAAAAUGUUCCCCAUCCAUUCCUUACUUGGUAUCUAUAGGGCUGUAAGCGAAGACAUUGGCUUUAUCUACAAACUGCUGCAGUCAGAUUGUUAUGGAAAUAGGAAUUAAUUAUUGUAGAAGCAGUAUAAUGAUCUUCUUUGGAAUCAGAGAAUUAAAACCAGGAUUCAAAGCAAUACCCGUAAGGGAAAGUGGUUGGGGUUUAUAUCGGAAUCAUGGGGGUAUAUUAUAUUAAGGUUAAAGAGGGAGGAUGAGAUGGAAAGACAGAAAAUCUCGCCACAGCAUGUGGAAGUUUCUCCUUAGGAGAGCCUUGUGGCUCAUUGUGCCUGUCAAGUAGGCUAAUGUGCCUGUAAAUUUCCUCUGACAGAAAACACAUCACAGCAGCAGCACCAGAAAACAACACAACCAAACUGUGGAAGACUGAAAACCCAGUGCUUUCAAGGGUGAUCAGAAUAUGCCAGAGUAAAAAACAAAAACAAAAACCAAAAAAAAAGCAAGGCAUUGAAAAUAAACAAAAGCUAGGGAGAAAUGAGAUCACCUUCCAAGAAAUAAGCAUUUAUCAUUCAUUCAUAGGCGAAAGGAAAUGCUUCUCCCACAGUCAUUUUUUAAUGUAUUAUUGGGCAGUCUCAGUUCAAGGUCAAAAAUGUCAGAGGGCAAAAGGAAUAGGACUCAAGAUUUAAUGCUGUAUUUAUCAUAACUGGCUUUGUAAUUGCAUAAAUAUUAAAUAUGUAGAACUAAUUGCAAGCACAUUAUCUCCAUAUCUCCACACAUUGCUUUAAUUUUUAAUGUAAUCUUUUAUCUGCCUUUUCCUCAGCUGGCUGUGGGUUUGUAAUUUGCAUAGCUAGAAUGAUCCGGUGCCAUCAAUUUAGUAAUGAAGUCACUCAUUGAGCAGAAGAGUUUUCUAAAGAUUAUACAAAGCUGUAGGAAAGAAAAGAACAGAAAUGAAAUUUUAUGUUUCAAAUAAAUGGGAAGUUUAUUUUAGAACAUAUUUUCCAUUGUAAAUUUAAUGCAACCACUUCAUAACAAAUUUGGAAAACAGAGAAGAUUGGGAAAAAGCACCCAUAUUUCAUCAUCCUAACUUAUCAGUGUUUUGUGGUCUUUUAUACCUAGGCACAUAUAUUUUUAACAUCGAUGUAAUCAUAAUUAUGUGUGUGUAUAUGUGUGUAAUUUUACAUCCUAUUUUUUGUAUUAUUACUAUGGUUUUCAUAACUAUAACUUUUAUGACUAUAAAAUACUAAUAAAAAGAGGUGUCUAUAAUUUUCUCACUUACUAAAUUUCUUGUGGCUAGCCGAGCAGAGGGGUGGAAUCAGAUGGAUUAAAUUUCAGCUCUGCUAUUGAACUGUGUGGAUUUGGGCAAGUUAGUAAAAAGCUGGGCGUUAGUCUUCUCAUCUACAAAAUGAGGAUAGUGAUA